rnacentral:rRNA from 1 species
AUUGAACGCUGGCGGCAGGCCUAACACAUGCAAGUCGAGCGCGCGGCGGAAGGGUGAGUAAUGUCUGGGAAACUGCAUGAUGGAGAGGGGUAACUACUGGAAACGGUAGCUAAUACAGCAUACAAUACGAUGUGCCCAGAUGGGAUUAGCUAGUAGGGGGGGUAACGGCUCACCUAGGCGACGAUCCCUAUCUGGUCUGAGAGGAUGACCAGCCACACUGGAACGUCGACACGGUCCAGACUCCUACGGGAGGCAGCAGUGGGGAAUAUUGCACAAUGGGCGCAAGCCUGAUGCAGCCAUGCCGCGUGUGUGAAGAAGGCCUUCGGGUUGUAAAGCACUUUCAGCGGGGAGGCGUUACCCGCAGAAGAAGCACCGGCUAACUCCGUGCCAGCAGCCGCGGUAAUUC